rnacentral:tRNA from 1 species
UUUGGCUUUUGUUAAAAUGUUUUGAAAACAUUUAUAAAGAUAAGUUAUCUUAAAAG